rnacentral:rRNA from 1 species
GAUGAACGCUAGCUACAGGCUUAACACAUGCAAGUCGAGGGGUAGCAGGGUAGCAAUACCGCUGACGACCGGCGCACGGGUGAGUAACACGUAUCCAACCUUCCCAUAACUCUGGGAUAGCCUUUCGAAAGAAAGAUUAAUACCGGAUGGUACUUUUUCAAGGCAUCUUGAGAAAGUUAAAGAUUUAUUGGUUAUGGAUGGGGAUGCGUUCCAUUAGAUAGUUGGUGAGGUAACGGCUCACCAAGUCUUCGAUGGAUAGGGGUUCUGAGAGGAAGGUCCCCCACAUUGGUACAGAGACACGGACCAAACUCCUACGGGAGGCAGCAGUGAGGAAUAUUGGUCAAUGGGCGAGAGCCUGAACCAGCCAAGUAGCGUGAAGGAUGAAGGUCCUAUGGAUUGUAAACUUCUUUUAUAGUAGAAUAAAGUGAUCCACGUGUGGGUUUUUGUAUGUAUACUAUGAAUAAGGAUCGGCUAACUCCGUGCCAGCAGCCGCGGUAAUAC